GGGCGGUUUGAGACCAGCCUGGGCAAUAUAGCAACCGUCCUGCUGGCACACAAACCCUCCUGCCUCUAAACAGAAUUUGAUGGGCCCCUUGGCAAAGGCAGGUUUUAGAAACUCCUCGGGGGCUGGAGCGCAAGGAGAGUCUGAGCCAGGCCAAGCCUCCCUGGGGGAACAUGGCUGAAGGAAGACCUACAGACAUCUCCCCUGGGUGGGAGCCUGUGUUCAGAAGCAGCAGAUCCAAGUCUCUGUGUGGCUGAGGAGAGGACAUCCUGCUGGCAACACGGAGAAUGCCAUAUAACAGCUAAGACAGAGAUCAGAGCCAUGCAGCUGCAAGCCGAAGCAGGCCAAGGAUUGCCAGCAAACCAAGAGAGGCUGGAAGAAGAGAGAAGGAUCUUUCCCUGCUGAUUUCACAGGGAGCAUGGCCCUUGAUCUCAGGACCUUGACCCCAGAACUUUCUGGCUGCCAAUACCAAGUUCCUCCUCUCCAUCUCACAUUCAAAGAGCACACAGAGAGGCUCUAAUUGGGUCUUUCUACAUCCUGUGUCCGUACAGAGCUCUCGCGUUUGGGUGGGGACUUUGCACCGUGACCAGUCUAAGAUCAGCACCAGCCCCUGGUCCAAUCAGCUGUGGCCAAGACCCUUGAAGACACAGAAACAUGGCCAGUGUGGCUAUCUCUGAUGGCAACAUCAAGAUGUCUAAUGACAUGAAGGCACACGAGUUGGUGACAUCAGAGGAGGUGAAACAGUGCAAGAAGGUAGUGCUCUUCUGACAUAAUGAGGCCAAGAAGAAUGUCACCCUGGAAGGGGCAAGGAGAUCCUCGUAGGUGGUGCAGGCCAGACUGUUGAUGGCCCUAUGCCACCUUAGUCAAGAUGCUGCCAGACAAGGACUGCUCCUCCACCCUCUAUGACACAGCCUGAGACCAAGAACAGCAAGAAGGAAGAUCUGGAGUUUAUCUUCUGGGACCCUGAGUCUGUACCCUCUAAGAGCUAAGUGACCUAUGCCAGCUCCAAGGAUGUCAUCAAGGGGAAGCUGAUGGAGAUCAAGCAUGAAUCACAAGGAGGUCAAGGGCCAUAGCAUCCUGGCAGAGAAGCUUGGAGGCAGCGCCAUCAUCUCCUGGAGGGCAUGCCUUUGUGAACCCCCUCCAGCCCCCUGCCUGGAACAUCUGGCAGCUCCUGACCUAUCUGCAGAGAGUUGUCUGUCCCCUUCCUCCAAGACCAGAGGGGUUUGGGGGAUCCCAGCAAGGGGAAGAUAAUCCCCUCACCCCAGUUACCAAGCAGCCCUCACCCCCAGGCCUUCCUCCUCCCUCCAUCCCUGAUGGUUCUGGCUUUCCCAGGCCACUUUUGACCUUCUAAUUCCUCUUGGAUUGAAACAGACAAAGUUCCCCUCACGCACCCUAGUUUGGGAGGAGCCUGUAUUUUGUUUUUUGUUUGUUUGUUUGUUUGUUUUUUGAGACAGGGUCUCACUCUGUCGCCCAGACUGGAGUGCAGCGGCAUGAUCUCGGCUCACCACAACCUCCGCCUCCCAGGCUCAAGUGAUUGUCCUGCCUCAGCCUCCCUAGUAGCUGGGAUUACAGGCAUCCACCACAACUGCCCGACUAAUUUUUUUGUAUUUUUGGUAGAGAUGGGGUUCCACCAUGUUGACCAGGCUGGCCUUGAGCUCCUGACCUCAAAUGAUCCACUCGCCUCAGCCUCCCAAAGUUCUGGGAUUACAAGCAUGAGUCACUGCACCCAGCCUAGCCUACAUUUUUUUUUAACAACACCCAUUUUUUUUUUUUUUUUUUGAGACAAAGUUUUGCUCUUGUUGCCCGGGCUGGAGUGCAAUGGCGUGAUCUUGGCUCACUGCAACCUCUGCCUCCCGGUUCAAGUGAUUCUCCCGCCUCAGCCUCCCGAGUAGCUGAGAUUACAGGCAUUCGCCACCAUGCCCCACUAAUUUCGUAUUUUUAGUAGAGACGGGGUUUCUCCAUGUUGGUCAGGCUUAUCUCGGCCUCAGGUGAUCCACCCACCUCAGCCUCCUAAAGUACUGGGAUUACAGGCAUGAGCCACUGCACCUGGCCACCCCAUGCUACCAACUUCUAAUCACAAUAACUGUUGACUCUGUGCUUGUGUGUUCCAUUCUGUGUGUGAGUGGAAUGUGGUAGAGGUGACCCUCCCUGGGCCGGCUGAUUCCUCUCCCUUUUCACCUGGUCACCGCCACUCGUAGAAGCAGGACCAGUAAGGGACUUCAAUUAGAAAACAAAACAAGACAGAUUAUAGGAAUAGCAGAUGUAGAGAAAAAACACUACCUCUAGGGCCGAGGCAAAAUAUUCAAGGAAGACAAGCUUGGACGAAGCCUCCCCUCCAAGGCUGAGAUGCACAUCGUUGAUGAAAGAUGUGGCCACUGGAUGGGAUAAGAGUUUGCUGAGGUGCUGCAGACCAUGGCUGGCAAGCAGAAAACCACCUGCUGGGUGCUGGGGAAACUUUCCAGGAAGCCUCCUGUUGGGGUGACAGUGAACCUUCCAGGAGGGUUCACAUCUCUGGGUCUCCCACUGGCCCCACCAGCUGCAGUAUUGCAGGAGCAAGAGGAAAAACACUGGGACCAGGAAGAAAGCCUCUGCCACUUGCAAUGUCCCUCAGUGGCUGGCUACUGACAAAACGUAACAUCGUGGCAGGUGGCAAGGGAGGAACAUUUACAGAGUCCAUCUCUGAUGUCACCAGCAGGGCCAGGAAGGGUUGAUCUGGAGCUUGGAGGCCAUACAUCAGUAACUGGUUCAAAUGGGACACUCCACAGUGGAAGAGCCAGUCCAACUAGAUACAUGACCUGUGAAAGUGCAUGCAUGGAGGCCAUUAUCUUAAGCCAAUUAAUGCAGGAACAGAAAACCAAACACCACAUGCUCUCACCCAUAAGUGGGAGCUAAACAUUGGAUACACAUGGACACAAAGAUAGAAACAACAGACCCCGGGAACUACUAGAGUGGGGAGAGAGGGAGGAGACCAAGGGCUGAAAAACUACCUGUUUGUUACUAUGCUCUUUACCUGGGUAAUGGGAUCAUUUGUAGCCCAAAGCCUCCAUGUUGCUGGAAAGGACAUGAUUUCAUAUAUAUAUAUGUAUGUGUGUAUAUAUACAUACAUAUAUAUAUAUACACAUAUAUAUAUAUAUUUUUUUUUUGAGACGGAGUCUUGCUCUGUCACCCAGGCUCGAGUGCAGUGAUGCUAUCUCGGCGCACUGCAACCUCUGCCUCCCGGGUUCAAGCAAUUCUCCUGCCUCAUCCUCCCAAGUAGCUGGCAUUACAGGCACAUGUCACCACACCCAGCUAAUUUCUUUUGUAUUUUAAUAUAGACGGGGUUUCACCGUGUUGCCCAGGUUGGUCUCCCGAGCUCAGGCAAUCCACCUGCCUUGAUGGGCACCUAGGUUGGUUUCACGUCCUUGCUGUUGUGACUGGUGCUGCGAUGUACAUAUGAGUGCAUGUUUUUUUGGUAGAAUGAUUUGUUUUCCUUUGGGUACAUACCCAGUAACGGGAUUGCUGCAUCGAAUGGUAGUUGUGUUUUCAGUUCUUUGAGAAAUCUCCCACAUUUUGAAUCACAUGUUUUAAUUUUCAGAUAUAUGACAACCUCCCCACACAGCCUAUAUUUUUGCUUCAUUAUUCCUAUUUUUAUUUGUACAUAAAUUAGGUCACUUUCCUGCCCUGAUCUACUGAAACUUCUAAAUUUGCUACUUCCAAAGUCAAUGCCAAAUUCAGACUGGCUUUGGUCAGGGGAGGAAGUUAGGCAAGCCAGGAUAAAAAUUUAGUCUGGCCCAACAACCUCCUCAGGAAUGCGGGUUUAGUCUUAGCUCCUCCAUUCCCUGGGACAAUUAUACUUGAUUUCAAGUCAGGUUUUCUUAAUUCCCAGUCAGCUGCUGUCACACUAACUGUCAUUUGUUCUUUUAUAAACUAGAAGAUUUGCAGAUUAA
rnacentral:lncRNA from 10 species